AGGGCGUACGGUGGAUGCCUUGGCGCCAGCAGGCGAAGAAGGACGUGGCAAGCUGCGAAAAGCCUCGGGGAGUCGCAAGCAGACGUUGAUCCGAGGAUGUCCGAAUGGGGAAACCCGUCCGGUGUGAACACCGGACACAGCUCGCUGAAUACAUAGGCGAGCACGAGCCAACCCGGGGAAGUGAACCAUCUCAGUACCCGGAGGGAAAAGAAAUCAACCGAGAUUCCGGGAGUAGCGGCGAGCGAAACCGGAACAGCCCAAACCUCGAUUCUUUGAAUCGGGGGGUUGUAGGGCCCGCAACAAGUAGGGUUACCAAUCCGGAGGCUAGGUGAAGGAGCUGGAAAGCUCCGCCAAAGAGCGUGAAAGUCGCGUAACCGAAAGCUUACCGGACCCGAAGCGGGUACCUGAGUACCACGGGACACGAGAAAUCCCGUGGGAAUCCGGGGGGACCACCCUCCAAGGCUAAACACUCGCUGGCGACCGAUAGUGCACUAGUACCGUGAGGGAAAGGUGAAAAGAACCCCUGCGAGGGGAGUGAAAUAGAACCUGAAACCGCAUGCCUACAAGCAGUCGGAGGGCUAUACCUCGAUCUUCGGAUCGAGGGAUGCCUGACGGCGUGCCUCUUGCUUAAUGAGCCGGCUAGUUAUUCUCCCAGGCGAGGCUAAGCGAAAGCGAGCCGUAGCGAAAGCGAGUCCGAAUAGGGCGACCAGUCUGUGGGAAUAGACGCGAAGCGGGACGAUCUACCCUUGGCCAGGUUGAAGGCCGCUUAACCGCGGCUGGAGGACCGAACCGGUGUUGGUUGAAAACAGCUCGGAUGAGCUGAGGGUAGGGGUGAAAGGCUAAUCAAGUUCCGUUAUUGCUCGUUCUCCCCGAAAUGCCUUUAGGGGCAGCCUUGUGCGAUCUGCCACGGUGGUAGAGCACUGAAUGGACUAGGGGGCAACCAAGCCUACCGAAUCCAAUCAAACUCCGAAUGCCGUGGACAGCAGCACGGGAGUGAGACUACGGGGGAUAAGCUCCGUGGUCGAAAGGGAAAGAACCCAGACCGCCAGCUAAGGUCCCGGACAGCAGGCUAAGUGGGAAAGGACGUGUGACCGCUAAAACAGCCAGGAGGUUGGCUUAGAAGCAGCCAUCCUUUAAAGAAAGCGUAAUAGCUCACUGGUCGAGCGGUCGCGCACCGACAAUCCAACGGGGCUCAAGCCUGCGACCGAAGCUGCGGAUCCCGCCGCAAGACGGGAUGGUAGGGGAGCAUUCUGUGGUGCUCGAAGGUGGACCGAGAGGAUCACUGGACGCCACGGAAGAGACUCUGCCGGCAUAAGUAGCGAUAAACAGGAUGAAAACUCCUGUCGCCGAAAGCCUAAGGUUUCCUGAGCAAGGUCAAUCCGCUCAGGGUCAGGCGGGUCCUAAGGUGAGGCCGAAAGGCGUAGCCGAUGGACAGCAGGUCAACAUUCCUGCCCCACCUGACGGACGUUACGACGAAGGGGCGACGCAGGAGGAUAAGGGAGUCGGGCGAUGGAAAUCCCGAUGGGUCUGUGUAAGCCGGAUCCCGCAGGUAAAUCCACGGGGUCAUUAACGGUGAGACAGGCUCCGAGGCCAUAGGCCGCAAAGUCUCUGAUUCCACUCUGCCAGGAAAACCCCCUAAGCAGUCCGUUAGGUGCCCGUACCUCAAACCGACACAGGUAGGCGAGGAUGAAUAUCCACAGGCGCUCGAGAGAACGCUCGCUCAGGAACUAGGCAAAUUAACCCCGUAACCUCGGGAGAAGGGGUGCCCCACUAGGGUUUAUAGCCCGAAGGGGUCGCAGUGAAAGGCGCGCUACGACUGUUUAACAAAAACACAUCUCUCUGCGAAGUCGAACACGACGUAUAGGGGGUGACGCCUGCCCGGUGCCGGAAGGUUAAAGGGAGGGCUCAGUCUGGAGUAAUCUGGACAAAGGUCUGAUCUGAAGCCCCGGUGAACGGCGGCCGUAACUAUAACGGUCCUAAGGUAGCGAAAUUCCUUGUCGGGUAAGUUCCGACCUGCACGAAUGGCGUAACGAUCGUGCGACUGUCUUAACGAGUGACUUGGCGAACUUGUAGUACCGGUGAAGAUGCCGGUUUCCCGCAUCUAGACGGAAAGACCCCGUGCACCUUUACUAUACCUUCACUAUGAAUUAUGGCCUUUGCUGCGCAGGAUAGGUGGGAGGCUUUGAACCCAGGCUUUUGGGCUUGGGGGAGCCAACGGUGAGAUACCACCCUGUGAAUGCUGUGAUUCUAACCUACUCCCGUGAUCCGGGAGAGGGACAUAGUUAGGCGGGUAGUUUGACUGGGGCGGUCGCCUCCCAAAAUGUAACGGAGGCGCGCGAAGCUACUCUCAGGCUGUUUGGAAAUCAGCCGUCGAGUGCAAUGGCAUAAGCGUGGUUUACUGCGAGACCAACAAGUCGAGCAGUUGCGAAAGCAGGUCA
rnacentral:rRNA from 1 species